UACGUAGGUGGCAAGCGUUGUCCGGAAUUAUUGGGCGUAAAGCGCGCGCAGGCGGUCCUUUAAGUCUGAUGUGAAAGCCCACGGCUCAACCGUGGAAGGUCAUUGGAAACUGGAGGACUUGAGUACAGAAGAGGAAAGCGGAAUUCCACGUGUAGCGGAUGAAAUGCGUAGAGAUGUGGAGGAACACCAGUGGCGAAGGCGGCUUUCUGGUCUGUAACUGACGCUGAGGCGCGAAAGCGUGGGGAGCAAACAGG
rnacentral:rRNA from 1 species